UCUAAGGAUUCCCUGGGGUUACCUGAAGCAGUCCAAGAGCCCCGGGUCUUCACCACUUUCCUACACAAGGGCAAAAUGAUCCCUUACUUCAAUAUGGCAUGCCAACCCGUUGGACUUCUCAUGAAUUUUGACCUCCUCAACCACACCAGCUAAUCCUCCCUACCCACGUGACACACUUGAAGAUCUGCCACCGUUCUACUUAUUGGAUUCUAAGCUUUACUGAUCCAGCCUGGAUAUUUCCACCUUGACCCUUCCCUGUAGCCAGAGCCAAAGCAAACCAGACACACCAGCCAACAGACUUCUGGGAAUCCAGGCACCAGCCUAUUGAGCAACUACGUGUAAAACACUCUGAAUACUCUGGCCUUUUAAAAUGAAAAUCAGAAAACACCUGCUGUGGCCAAAACACAAGUUCCAAAACCAUACUGGGCCAAUACACACACGACUGUACUUACCAAAGUAAAUAAGGAAAACCAAGCCGUGCGUACUCAGUGCUUAUCAGAAAAUGAUCACCUGCCAGACCUUCCAUUGGCCAUAAAACAUCUUGAACAGAAGGGCAACCAACGGAGGCACACUGCUAGCUCCCGGGGCAGCCAACGCUAGAGCCGCUCUCUGUGAAGGGCCCACGUUGAAAGUCCUAACACUGCACAUUCCUUAGCAGGAACUUGAAGGACGAGAUCAUCUUUAUGGCCAGAAGACAUGCCCGAAGCUCAGAUGUAACGGAGGCUAUUGGGAUGUCAGCCUCUUCUGCUUCCAGCUGGCAGGAGGCCUCACCUCCUAGUUAAAUUUUCACCCAGAA